CGUAAACAAACAGAGCUACAACAGAAAACGGGAUACACACCCCACUGAGGAGACACGACUGGACGGACACUGGGCAGACUGAGCAUCACUCCCUGUUAAUACCACAUAAUAAUAAAAAUCUUCUUGUGAUUAAAUAUUGAUAACAAGUGUAAUGUAAACAACUGUAAUUAGUGACGUAAGCUUAUGAGCGAUAUUAGAAAUUACUGAAAGGAAGUUUGACCUAAAUUAGACAUGAUAAAUAAAAUGAAGUCAAAAACAGCACUUGAAAGUUAACAUGAAACUAAGAUAUUCUUGUGAUUGUGGGCGUGUGUGUGGUGGUGAGGGAAGUAGAAGAGAGAUUGUGAUGAGGCGUAGUGGUGUGCAGUGGGCGUGGAGGGUGAUAAAGACUGUAAUGAUGAUGAUGGUGAUAAUGGUGUUUGGCCCGUGUGUGUCAUCAGCCUUGGCCAGGAAGGAAAGUACCAGUCCACUCAAGUACCAGAUUCACAGCAAGUGUCCCAUGGCGUUUCAUGAGGUCGGUGGCAGCUGUUACUUCUACGGCUAUUUUCCUCUCAACUGGUUCCGUGCGGCUGAGUUCUGUCACUCCUUCGGCAGCGGCGUGUCCUUGGCCACCAUAGAAACGCUGCAGGAGAACUAUUUCAUCAAGAAGUGGCUGGCUGUCAAUGGUCAUCACAACACCGGCGUUUGGGUUGGAGACA